GAUGAACGCUAGCGAUAGGCCUAACACAUGCAAGUCGAGGGGCAGCAUAGAGUAGCAAUACUUUGAUGGCGACCGGCGCACAGGUGAGUAACACGUAUGCAACCUACCUACAUCAGGGGAAUAACCCGGAGAAAUUCGGACUAAUACCGCAUAAUACAGGGAUGCCGCAUGGCAAUAUUUGUUAAAGAUUUAUCGGAUGUAGAUGGGCAUGCGUUCCAUUAGCUAGUUGGUGAGGUAUCGGCUCACCAAGGCAACGAUGGAUAGGGGAACUGAGAGGUUUGUCCCCCACACUGGAACUGAGACACGGACCAGACUCCUACGGGAGGCAGCAGUGAGGAAUAUUGGUCAAUGGACGAGAGUCUGAACCAGCCAAAUCGCGUGAAGGAAGACUGCCCUACGGGUUGUAAACUUCUUUUGUACAGGAAUAAAAGACAUUACGUGUAAUGUAUUGCAUGUACUGUACGAAUAAGCAUCGGCUAACUCCGUGCCAGCCGCCGCGGUAA
rnacentral:rRNA from 1 species